CGGCCGCGUCGACUGAUCCUGGCUCAGGAUGAACGCUGGCGGUCUGCUUAACACAUGCAAGUCGAACGGAGUAGAAAUACUUAGUGGCGGACGGGUGAGUAAUACUUAGGAAUCUACCUAGUAGUGGGGGAUAGCUCGGGGAAACUCGAAUUAAUACCGCAUACGACCUACGGGAGAAAGGGGGCAACUUGUUGCUCUCGCUAUUAGAUGAGCCUAAGUCGGAUUAGCUAGAUGGUGGGGUAAAGGCCUACCAUGGCGACGAUCUGUAGCUGGUCUGAGAGGAUGAUCAGCCACACCGGGACUGAGACACGGCCCGGACUCCUACGGGAGGCAGCAGUGGGGAAUAUUGCAC
rnacentral:rRNA from 1 species